UGUUAUAAAGGAGGGUAUGAGAAAUCUUAUGCUUGGCACAGUUGGAAUAGUUUGCAACCAUCUUAAUCAGGGUUGCCUUGGAGUUGAUUUAACCCUGAAGCAUGAGUUUUGUUCUAGACAGACUUCUGAAUGGACUUCUGAAUGUACUUUGAAGUGGAUGUGGAGAGGAACAGUUUACUUGUCUGGUGCAAUUACAAUAUCUCUGGAGCAGAGACGGCCUCCUACAAUUGCUGAAGUAAGGCUGGACCUGGCUUUACCUGGAGCCAAUAGGUGCUGAUGCAACACCAAAGCAUCAGGUCACAGGCAAGAAUCCUAACAUAACAAGAUCUGAAGUUGAAGCUUAACAUCCCAUUUUGACAUAGAAAUGUUUGCCAUGACGAGCCUUCAUUCUGCUCUAAAGAACAGGACUUUGUAUGGUUUUAUCAUCAACCAGCAGAAAUCAGUAUCCACCACUGACAAGCAUUUUCUUGAAGCUUGGUCAGCUGUCACUUCCCUUACAGUCCGCAUCAGAAAUGAAAUGACAGUGACAUCAGAAAU